CCUACGGGGGGCUGCAGUGGGGAAUCUUGCGCAAUGGGCGAAAGCCUGACGCAGCAACGCCGCGUGGGGGAUGAAGGCCCUCGGGUUGUAAACCCCUUUCAGCAGGGACGAAUCAAGACGGUACCUGCAGAAGAAGCCCCGGCUAACUACGUGCCAGCAGCCGCGGUAACACGUAGGGGGCAAGCGUUGUCCGGAUUUAUUGGGCGUAAAGAGCUCGUAGGCGGCUGAGUAAGUCGGGUGUUAAAUCCCCAGGCUCAACCUGGGACACCACCCGAUACUGCUCUGGCUAGAGUCCGGUAGGGGAGCGUGGAAUUCCUGGUGUAGCGGUGAAAUGCGCAGAUAUCAGGAGGAACACCAGCGGCGAAGGCGGCGCUCUGGGCCGUAACUGACGCUGAGGAGCGAAAGCGUGGGUAGCAAACAGGAUUAGAUACCCUAGUAGUC
rnacentral:rRNA from 1 species